rnacentral:rRNA from 1 species
AACGAACGCUGGCGGCAUGCCUAACACAUGCAAGUCGAACGAGACCUUCGGGUCUAGUGUCGCACGGGUGCAUAACGCGUGGGAACCUGCCCUUAGGUUCGGAAUAACUCCCCGAAAGGGGUGCUAAUACCGGAUAAUGUCUUCGGACCAAAGAUUUAUCGCCUUUGGAUGGGCCCGCGUUGGAUUAGCCAGUUGGUAGGGUAAAAGCCUACCAAGGCGACGAUCCAUAGCUGGUCUGAGAGGAUGAUCAGCCACACUGGGACUGAGACACGGCCCAGACUCCUACGGGAGGCAGCAGUGGGGAAUAUUGGACAAUGGGCGAAAGCCUGAUCCAGCAAUGCCGCGUGAGUGAUGAAGGCCUUAGGGUUGUAAAGCUCUUUUACCCGGGAUGAUAAUGACAGUACCGGGAGAAUAAGCUCCGGCUAACUCCGUG